rnacentral:rRNA from 1 species
UACAGAGGGGGCAAGCGUUGUUCGGAAUUACUGGGCGUAAAGGGCGCGUAGGCGGCCUUCUAAGUCGAACGUGAAAUCCCCGGGCUCAACCCGGGAACUGCAUUUGUGACUGCAUCGCUGGAGUACGGCAGAGGGGGAUGGAAUUCCGCGUGUAGCAGUGAAAUGCGUAGAUAUGCGGAGGAACACCGAUGGCGAAGGCAAUCCCCUGGGCCUGUACUGACGCUCAUGCACGAAAGCGUGGGGAGCAAACAGG